rnacentral:rRNA from 1 species
UACAGAGGUCUCAAGCGUUGUUCGGAUUCAUUGGGCGUAAAGGGUGCGUAGGCGGCGCGGUAUGUCGGGUGUGAAAUCUCGGAGCUUAACUCCGAAACUGCAUUCGAUACUGCCGUGCUUGAGGACUGGAGAGGAGACUGGAAUUUACGGUGUAGCGGUGAAAUGCGUAGAUAUCGUAAGGAAGACCAGUGGCGAAGGCGGGUCUCUGGACAGUUCCUGACGCUGAGGCACGAAGGCCAGGGGAGCAAACGGG